GAGUUUGAUCAUGGCUCAGGAUGAACGCUGGCGGCGUGGAUAAGGCAUGCAAGUAGAACGCCCCGCAAGGGGAGUCGCGAACGAGGUAGUAAUACAUAGGUACAAACCCCCGAGUCAGGAAUAACCUACCGAAAGGUAGGCUAAUACUUGAUAGUCCCGCAAGGGUAAAGAUUUAUCGCUUGGGGAUUGGCCUGUGCAGUAUCAGCUAGUUGGUAGGGUAAUAGCCUACCAAGGCAAUGACGCUUAGGGGAGGUGAGAGCCUGGCCCCCACCGAUGGUACUGAGACACGGACCAUACACCUACGGGUGGCUGCAGUCGAGAAUCUUCCGCAAUGGACGCAAGUCUGACGGAGCGACGCCGCGUGACUGAUGAAGUCUUUCGGGAUGUAAAGGUCUUUUAUGAAGGAGAAAGUUUUGAUAGUACUUCAUGAAUAAGGGGUUGCUAAACUCGUGCCAGCAGCAGCGGUAAUACGAGUACCCCAAGCGUUAUCCGGAAUUAUUGGGCGUAAAGGGUAUGUAGGUUGUUAUGUUAGUCUUUUGUCAAAGCCUUCGGCUCAACCGGAGAAUUGCGGGAGAAACGGCAUAACUAGAGGGCGCGAGAGGUUUGCGGAACUCAUGGUGUAGGGGUGAAAUCCGUUGAUAUCAUGGGGAACACCAAAAGCGA
rnacentral:rRNA from 1 species